rnacentral:rRNA from 1 species
GAUGAACGCUGGCGGCGUGCCUAACACAUGCAAGUCGAGCGAUCUUCUUCGGAAGAGAGCGGCGGACGGGUGAGUAACGCGUGGGUAACCUGCCCUGUACACACGGAUAACAUACCGAAAGGUAUGCUAAUACGAGAUAAUAUGCUUUUAUCGCAUGGUAGAAGUAUCAAAGCUUUUGCGGUGCAGGAUGGACCCGCGUCUGAUUAGCUAGUUGGUAAGGUAACGGCUUACCAAGGCGACGAUCAGUAGCCGACCUGAGAGGGUGAUCGGCCACAUUGGAACUGAGACACGGUCCAAACUCCUACGGGAGGCAGCGGUGGGGAAUAUUGCACAAUGGGCGAAAGCCUGAUGCAGCAACGCCGCGUGAGCGAUGAAGGCCUUCGGGUCGUAAAGCUCUGUCCUCAAGGAAGAUAAUGACGGUACUUGAGGAGGAAGCCCCGGCUAACUACGUGCCAGCCGCCGCGGUAA